rnacentral:lncRNA from 1 species
CUGUGGCUCUGAGGGACGUGGGCAGUGGGCAUGGUGGGGUGCACUGGGGUAGGAUUUGGGAACUUGGAGGUCUUUUCCAACUUAAUGAUUCUAAGAUUCUAUGUCACAGAGGCAGGAGGAAGCCACGUGGGCCAUGCAGUCAUUCAGAGAGCGUGUCUGUGUGGUGCCCAGGGGAUGUCCCCAACCUCCCCAUGCAGCCUUUCUCGUGCUUUGUCACAGUCACCACUGGCUGUGGGGUGAUUCUGGAGCAGGGAUGCUCCUGGCAUCUCACCCAGCCCAAAAUGAGGACACAGACAAAACUGGGGCUUUGUCAAAGUCACCCUGCGGGUCUGAAGGAAACAAACCUUCCAGGAGCAGAGGACUUCACUCCAUCACUCCAUCUCAAGCACCUCCAGCUGGCAGACGGAGCAUGAGCACCUCACACCAGGGCCUGGGAUUUCCCUGGAGCUGUCUGAGCAGUAGAGACUGAAGAAGGCAUCCAUCCUCCUCACCAUCCCCAGUCAUCAGAGCACAUUCAGCAUCCGGUCCACAUUAUCCUUAGUCCUCCUUUUGCUGCUGACAUGCCUAAAGAAGCCUUUAUUGACACGGAUUUAAUUCCAGGUGGGCCUUAGUCUUUCUCAUCACAUCCCUCCAAGCCCCUCAGUAUCCCUAUAUUCCUCCAAAGUGCCCAGACCCUUUUCCCACAUUUCAUAGAAUCACAGAAUUGCUCAGGUUGGAAAAGACCUUAAAGGUCAUCAAGUCCAACCACAACUUAACCACACUACCCUAACUGUAACAACCCUCUGCUAGAUCACGUCCCUGAGCAAAGGUUCAUAGACUUUCCUCUUCCCUUGGAGCUUACCUUGCUCACCCAUGCAGGUCUCCUGCCACUUUUGCCUGAUUUAUUACUCUUAGGGAUGUGCCAAUCUUGAGCUUGGAAGAAGUGAUGCCAAAAUGUCAACUAGUGCUACUGGGCCCCCUUUCCUUCCAACGCUGCAGCCCAUGGGACACCUCUAAGUUGGUCCUUGAAGAGGUGAAAGUUGGCUCCCCU